rnacentral:rRNA from 1 species
UACGAAUGGGGCAAGCGUUGUUCGGAAUCACUGGGCUUAAAGCGUGCGUAGGCGGAUCUGCAAGUCAGGAGUGAAAUCCCCGGGCUCAACCCGGGAACUGCUUUUGAAACUGCAGAUCUGGAGUCCCGGAGAGGUUAGCAGAAUUCCGAGUGUAGAGGUGAAAUUCGCAGAUAUUCGGAGGAAUACCAGUGGCGUAGGCGGCUAACUGGACGGGAACUGACGCUGAGGUACGAAAGCGUGGGGAGCAAACAGG